rnacentral:miRNA from 1 species
AGAGCUCACAGCUGUCCUUCUCUA